rnacentral:rRNA from 1 species
UACAGAGGGUGCAAGCGUUAAUCGGAAUUAUUGGGCGUAAAGCGCAUGUAGGUGGUUUCAUAAGUUUGAUGUGAAAGCCCUGGGCUUAACCUGGGAAUGGCGUUGAAAACUGUGAAACUUGAGUCGGACAGAGGGCGGUGGAAUUUCCGGUGUAGCGGUGAAAUGCGUAGAGAUCGGAAAGAACAUCGGUGGCGAAGGCGGCCGCCUGGGUCCAGACUGACACUGAGGUGCGAAAGCGUGGGGAGCAAACAGG